rnacentral:lncRNA from 1 species
UCUGCAUGGAGCGCUGAGGUGCACGUCCUGGCCCUCGUCUGCUCCCCCCACCCCCCAGACCCUGCCUCGGAAGUGGGGGAGCCUAGGGGGGUGAGAGCUCAGCCGGCCUCGGGGCAACACCCAUAAAGACCAGCGUCCUUAUGCACCCAGGGGUUGAGAGCCCCAACUCUGGAGCCUGUCCGCCUGGGUCUCCAUAUCCGCCAUUCACCGCGGUGUGAUCUUCAGAUUCCAGUUUCCUCAUCUGUAACAGAGAUGUAAGGCUUGCAUGACAACCUAGGUAAAGCCCUUAAACGGGGCCGCCCCUGGUAAGCACCAUUUGAGUAUGAGUUCAUAAUUGGUGACACUAUUUGCUGGGCUCUUGUUCUGUACCAGGCAGGGUGCUAAGCCUUGAGCAGAAGUCGGCUUGGUUAACCCUCUCAAGCAGAAGUUCAGUCAUCCCCCCAUUGUAUGGAUGAGGAGGUUGAGGCACAGAGAAACUAAGUCGCAUGGCCAGCGUCAUCCCGGGAAGUGACGGAGCCUGGAUUCCAACUAAGGCACAGGCUCUCGGCCUCUGUACAGCCCGAAUCACCCUGAGACCCAGGGGGACCUCUGAUUUGGGAGAAGGGAAGACAACAGAAGGAUUUAUCCAGACACAGUGCUUGAACCAGAAGCUUCUGCCUGGAACCCCAUCCCCACCUCCCUCUUCCAGUCCUUCCCCUUCCUGCCUCCACUAUUCUGAGAUAGCAAGUCAUAACCAAGGGCAACCACAGAGUGCUCCUGAAGUCUCAGAAGGCUUAGUGAGACGCCAUCCCUGCCUGGCUGGAUCCAAAAAACAUGUAAGUGUAAUAAUCUUUGUCUUAGCGAACCAAAUACAUGGAAAUUGUAUUAUUACAAAAUUUCUAUUUGGAGGUGGUAAUGUACUUGGCCAACUACGUCUUCAUUUUAGCAACAACAACAUUACUUUGAUGUAA